rnacentral:rRNA from 1 species
GAACGCGAAGAACCUUACCUGGGCUUGACAUACACCAGAUCGCCGUAGAGAUACGGUUUCCCUUUGUGGUUGGUGUACAGGUGGUGCAUGGUUGUCGUCAGCUCGUGUCGUGAGAUGUUGGGUUAAGUCCCGCAACGAGCGCAACCCUUGUCUUAUGUUGCCAGCACGUUAUGGUGGGGACUCGUGAGAGACUGCCGGGGUUAACUCGGAGGAAGGUGGGGAUGACGUCAAAUCAUCAUGCCCCUUAUGUCCAGGGCUUCACACAUGCUACAAUGGUCGGUACAACGCGCAUGCGAGCCUGUGAGGGUGAGCGAAUCGCUGUAAAGCCGGUCGUAGUUCGGAUUGGGGUCUGCAACUCGACCCCAUGAAGUCGGAGUCGCUAGUAAUCGCAGAUCAGCAACGCUGCGGUGAAUACGUUCCCGGGUCUUGUACACACC